rnacentral:rRNA from 1 species
GACGAACGCUGGCGGCGUGCUUAACACAUGCAAGUCGAACGAAGAGCGAUGGAAGCUUGCUUCUAUCAAUCUUAGUGGCGAACGGGUGAGUAACGCGUAAUCAACCUGCCCUUCAGAGGGGGACAACAGUUGGAAACGACUGCUAAUACCGCAUACGAUCUAAUCUCGGCAUCGAGGAUAGAUGAAAGGUGGCCUCUACAUGUAAGCUAUCACUGAAGGAGGGGAUUGCGUCUGAUUAGCUAGUUGGAGGGGUAACGGCCCACCAAGGCGAUGAUCAGUAGCCGGUCUGAGAGGAUGAACGGCCACUUUGGGACUGAGACACGGCCCAGACUCCUACGGGAGGCAGCAGUGGGGAAUCUUCCGCAAUGGACGAAAGUCUGACGGAGCAACGCCGCGUGAGUGAUGACGGCCUUCGGGUUGUAAAGCUCUGUUAAUCGGGACGAAAGGCCUUCUUGCGAACAGUUAGAAGGAUUGACGGUACCGGAAUAGAAAGCCACGGCUAACUACGUG